AUGGAGAGCAGGGGCAGCGCGAGAGGAGGAGACCGCGACCACCUCGACCACCACCGGCAGGUGCUGCUGCUGAGGCCGGCUGCGGCAUGGAGCUACGCCUCCGCCGGCGGCGGCAUGUCGUGGCCGGCGCAGAGGUCGCCAUCGUCUUCGUACACGUGCGGCUACUGCAAGAGGGAGUUCCGGUCGGCGCAGGCGCUCGGGGGGCACAUGAACGUGCACCGCCGGGAGAGGGCCAGGAUCCGCCACUACUACUGCUCCGCCUACCCCGCGGCUCCAGCUCCGGCUCCUGCUGCUGUCCACAGGGACUGGGUGCCCAACCUCAACUUCUCGCCGCCGCGUUGCCCCGGUGGCGACUAUGGCGGCACAUCCUCGGCGACCCCGCCCGUCUACAGCUUCUUCUCCACCGCGGCGACCGCGGAGGCGGCCAAGGCUGCGUUGGUGGUGGACCUGGAGCUGGGGGUCGGAGGAGGGGGAGGAGGCUUGGAUCUUGAGCUUAGGCUUGGCUGCUCUUGA
rnacentral:rRNA from 1 species